GGCUCGGUAGCUUAGUUGGUAAAGGCACUUCUCUAGCGAAUAAGGGUCGUGAGUUCAAAUCUCACCUGAGCUG
rnacentral:tRNA from 1 species